rnacentral:rRNA from 1 species
UAGGGAAUCUUCCACAAUGGGCGAAAGCCUGAUGGAGCAACGCCGCGUGGGUGAAGAAGGUCUUCGGAUCGUAAAACCCUGUUGUUAGAGAAGAAAGUGCGUGAGAGUAACUGUUCACGUUUCGACGGUAUCUAACCAGAAAGCCACGGCUAACUACGUGCCAGCAGCCGCGGUAAUACGUAGGUGGCAAGCGUUAUCCGGAUUUAUUGGGCGUAAAGGGAACGCAGGCGGUCUUUUAAGUCUGAUGUGAAAGCCUUCGGCUUAACCGGAGUAGUGCAUUGGAAACUGGGAGACUUGAGUGCAGAAGAGGAGAGUGGAACUCCAUGUGUAGCGGUGAAAUGCGUAGAUAUUGCGCAGAACUCCGAUUGCGAAGGCAGCGUACUGGCGCCUGACUGACGCUGAGGCACGAAAGCGUGGGGGAUCGAACAGGAUUAGAUACC